rnacentral:rRNA from 1 species
GGUUCGAUUAUGGCUCAGAUUGAACGCUGGCGGAUGUUUUGCAUAUAUUACGCAAGUCGAACGGCAGCACGGACUUCGGUCUGGUGGCGAGUGGCGAACGGGUGAGUAAUGUAUCGGAACGUGCCUAGUGCUGGAUUAAUACCUUAUUGGCAGCAGCUGCGAAAGUUGGUAGCUGACACGCAUUGACUGGGGAAAGCAGUUGGGACCUUCGGCCUCGCAAUAGAGCGGCCGAUAUCGGAUUAGCUAGUUGGUGGGGUAAAUGGCUCAACAAGGCGACGAUCCGUAGCUGGUUUGAGAGGACGACCAGCCACACUGGGACUGAGACACGGCCCAGACUCCUACGGGAGGCAGCAGUGGGGAAUUUGACAAUGGGGGAAACCCUGAUCCAGCCAUCAUCUCAUGUGUGCGAUGAAGGCCUUCUUGGUUAGGUAAAGCACUUUGGCGGUGAGGAAGAAACGGCACGGGAUAAUACCUCGUGCAACUGACGGUACCUGGUAAGAAUACACCGGCUAACUACGUGCCAGCAGCCGCGGUAAUGUAGGGUGCAAGCGUUAAUCGGAAUUACUGGGCGUAAAGCGGUGCGCAGGUGGUUCGAAAGAAAGAUGAAAUCCCAGAGCUACAUCUUUGAACCGCAUGACUACCAGAGCUGAGCAAAUAGAGGGAGUGUACUUCAUGUGUAGCAGUGAAAUGUGUAGAUAUGCGGAGGAACACUGAUGGCGAAGGCAGCCUUGGGAUAACACUGACGCUCAUGCACGAAAGCGUGGGGAGCAAACAGGAUUAGAUACCCCUGGUAGUCCACGCCCUAAACGAUGCUCAAUUUAUUGUUGGGGCCUUCGGGCCUUGGUAGCGCAGCUAACGCGUGAAGUUGACCGCCUGGGGAGUACGGUCGCAAGAUUAAACUCAAAGGAAUUGGACGGGGACCCGCACAAGCGGUGGAUGAUGUGGAUUGUCUGAUGCAACGCGAAAACCUUACCUACCCUUGACAUGUCUGGAAUCCCGAAGAGAUUUGGGAGUGCCUGCAAGAGAACCGGAACACAGGUGCUGCAUGGCUGUCGUCAGCUCGUGUCGUGAUGUUGCUCAAGUCCCGCAACGAGCGCAACCCUUGUCAUUAGUUGCUACGAAAGGGCACUCUAAUGAGACUGCCGGUGACAAACCGCUUCGAGGAAGGUGGGGAUGACGUCAAGUCCUCAGCGGCCUUUGCGGGUAGGGCUUCACACGUCAUACAAUGGUCGGGACAGAGGGUCACCAACUCCGCGAGGGGGAGCAAUCCGAAACCCGAUCGGGGGUCCGGAUCGCAGUCUGCAACUCGACUGCGUAGUCGGAAUCGCUAUAAUCGCGGAUCAGCAUGUCGCGGUGAAUACGUUCCCGGGUCUUGUACACACCGCCCGUCACACCAUGGGAGUGGGUUUUACCAGAAGUAGUUAGCCUAACCGUAAGGGGAGGGCGAUUACCACGGUAGGAUUCAUGACUGGGGUGAAGUCGUAACAAGGUAG